AUUCCCCUAGUAACUGCGAGUGAAGCGGGAAGAGCUCAAAUUUAAAAUCUGGCGGUCUCUGGCCGUCCGAGUUGUAGUCUGGAGAAGUGCUUUCCGCGCUGGACCGUGUACAAGUCCCUUGGAACAGGGCGUCAUAGAGGGUGAGAAUCCCGUCUUUGACACGGACUACCAGUGCUUUGUGAUGCGCUCUCAAAGAGUCGAGUUGUUUGGGAAUGCAGCUCAAAAUGGGUGGUAAAUUCCAUCUAAAGCUAAAUAUUGGCGAGAGACCGAUAGCGAACAAGUACCGUGAGGGAAAGAUGAAAAGCACUUUGGAAAGAGAGUUAAACAGUACGUGAAAUUGCUGAAAGGGAAACACUUGAAGUCAGUCGCGUCGGCCAGAACUCAGCCUUGCUCUUUUGCUCGGUGCAUUUUCUGGUUGACGGGCCAGCAUCGAUUUUGACCGUUGGAUAAAGGUUGGGGGAAUGUGGCACCUUCGGGUGUGUUUAUAGCCCUCGGUCACAUACAACGGUUGGGAUCGAGGAACUCAGUACGCCUUUGUGGCCGGGGCCUGUCCCACGUACACGUACUUAGGAUGCUGGCGUAAUGGCUUUAAAUGACCCGUCUUGAAACACGGACCAAGGAGUCUAACAUGCCUGCGAGUGUUUGGGUGGAAAACCCGAGCGCGCAAUGAAAGUGAAAGUUGAGAUCUCUGUCGUGGAGAGCAUCGACGCCCGGACCAGACCUUCUGUGACGGAUCCGCGGUAGAGCAUGUAUGUUGGGACCCGAAAGAUGGUGAACUAUGCCUGAAUAGGGUGAAGCCAGAGGAAACUCUGGUGGAGGCUCGUAGCGAUUCUGACGUGCAAAUCGAUCGUCAAAUUUGGGUAUAGGGGCGAAAGACUAAUCGAACCAUCUAGUAGCUGGUUCCUGCCGA
rnacentral:rRNA from 1 species